AGUGAAUAAUUAAACGGCCGCGGUACUCUAACCGUGCAAAGGUAGCAUAAUCAUUUGUCUACUAAUUAUAGACUAGCAUGAAAGGCUAAAUGAGGGUUUAACUGUCUCUUAUAUUAAAUCAAUUAAACUGAUUUCCCAGUAAAAAAGCUGGAAUAUUCACACAAGACCAGAAGACCCUGUGAAGCUUAAACUAAACUAUUAAACCAUAUAAUAGCUACUUUCGGUUGGGGCGACCUUGGAAAAAAAAAGAACUUCCAAAUACAACGACUAACCAUCACCCUUCAGGCUAACAAGCCACAACAUACGACCCAGCAAAGCUGAUAAUUGAACCAAGUUACUCCAGGGAUAACAGCGCCAUCUUCUUCAAGAGUCCCUAUCAAAAAGAAGGUUUACGACCUCGAUGUUGGAUCAGGACAUCCUAA
rnacentral:rRNA from 1 species